rnacentral:rRNA from 1 species
ACGAACGCUGGCGGCGUGCCUAAUACAUGCAAGUGGAACGCAUGAUUGAUACCGUAGCUUGCUACACCAUUAAUCAUGAGUCGCGAACGGGUGAGUAACGCGUAGGUAACCUGCCUACUAGCGGGGGAUAACUAUUGGAAACGAUAGCUAAUACCGCAUAAGAGUUUUUAACACAUGUUAGAAAUUUAAAAGGAGCAAAUGCUUCACUAGUAGAUGGACCUGCGUUGUAUUAGCUAGUUGGUAAGGUAACGGCUUACCAAGGCGACGAUACAUAGCCGACCUGAGAGGGUGAUCGGCCACACUGGGACUGAGACACGGCCCAGACUCCUACGGGAGGCAGCAGUAGGGAAUCUUCGGCAAUGGGGGGAACCCUGACCGAGCAACGCCGCGUGAAGUGAAGAAGGUUUUCGGAUCGUAAAGCUCUGUUGUAAGAGAAGAACGUUGAGUAGAGUGGAAAGUUACUCAAGUGACGGUAUCUUACCAGAAAGGGACGGCUAACUACGUGCCAGCCGCCGC